GAUGAACGCUGGCGGCGUGCCUAAUACAUGCAAGUCGAGCGAACGGACGAGAAGCUUGCUUCUCUGAUGUUAGCGGCGGACGGGUGAGUAACACGUGGAUAACCUACCUAUAAGACUGGGAUAACUUCGGGAAACCGGAGCUAAUACCGGAUAAUAUUUUGAACCGCAUGGUUCAAAAGUAAAAGACGGUCUUGCUGUCACUUAUAGAUGGAUCCGCGCUGCAUUAGCUAGUUGGUAAGGUAACGGCUUACCAAGGCAACGAUGCAUAGCCGACCUGAGAGGGUGAUCGGCCACACUGGAACUGAGACACGGUCCAGACUCCUACGGGAGGCAGCAGUAGGGAAUCUUCCGCAAUGGGCGAAAGCCUGACGGAGCAACGCCGCGUGAGUGAUGAAGGUCUUCGGAUCGUAAAACUCUGCUAUUAGGGAAGAACAUAUGUGUAAGUAACUGUGCACAUCUCGACGGUACCUAAUCAGAAAGCCACGGCUAACUACGUG
rnacentral:rRNA from 1 species